rnacentral:rRNA from 1 species
CCUACGGGCGGCAGCAGUGGGGAAUAUUGGACAAUGGGGGGGAACCCUGAUCCAGCCAUGCCGCGUGUGUGAAGAAGGCCCUCGGGUUGUAAAGCACUUUCAGUGAGGAAGAACGCCUGGUGGUUAAUACCCAUCAGGAAAGACAUCACUCACAGAAGAAGCACCGGCUAACUCCGUGCCAGCAGCCGCGGUAAUACGGAGGGUGCGAGCGUUAAUCGGAAUUACUGGGCGUAAAGCGCGCGUAGGUGGCUUGAUAAGCCGGUUGUGAAAGCCCCGGGCUCAACCUGGGAACGGCAUCCGGAACUGUCAAGCUAGAGUGCAGGAGAGGAAGGUAGAAUUCCCGGUGUAGCGGUGAAAUGCGUAGAGAUCGGGAGGAAUACCAGUGGCGAAGGCGGCCUUCUGGACUGACACUGACACUGAGGUGCGAAAGCGUGGGUAGCAAACAGGAUUAGAUACCCGAGUAGUC